rnacentral:rRNA from 1 species
AUGUAAUUUAAUUCCUAAAAAAUUAAUCCAUUGAAUCCCAUUAGAACUCCAUAGUUAAGCACAAUUGGGCUAGAGUAGUAUUGGGAUGGAUGACCUCCUUAGAAGUCCUAGUGUUUUACAUG